AGUGAAGGAAGGGUUUCGGCUAAGUAAAGCUCUGUUGGUAGUGAAAGAAAGAUAGAGGUAGUAACUGGCCUUUAUUGACGGUAAUUACUUAGAAAGUCACGGCUAACUACGUGCC
rnacentral:rRNA from 1 species